rnacentral:lncRNA from 1 species
AAAAAUCUCUGGACCUAGGAAUCCGACCUAGGAACAAGCCUGUGGGUCGCCAGAACAACCCAGAGGCUAUUAAGCUGAAGUUAAUGCAUCCUCCUUGAUACUGGCUGCGUUUGUUGCAGACACAGUGGCUGAUCUGUUAAGGGGGUUCACCGUCGGACAGUGACACUGCGGGAGUCUAAACUCCAGGUGAGCAUAGCCGUGGCAGGUACAGAGAAUGCCCUGGGAAAUGUGCGCAUUGAGUAACGACCGGGGGUUGCGGUCGUUGUCUCCGCAACAUGCCGCGGGGGGACGCGCAUGGGAUGGCAGUGUUCGCCGUAUCAGCGACCCCGCCAAAACGCAGCACCCAAACGUACUUCCGUCCAUGCCGUCCACCACUUCAACCUCGACAAAAGAGCAACGACGCCUAUUUACCCUGACACAUGAGCGCUCACCCAAACGCCCAGGGAGAUCUCCGCGCCGGCCUCCGCCAGAGCCUUCGCAAUAGCCCAUCCGAAACCCUGUAUUUAUAAAAUGUAACAGUAAAAAAGCGAUGAAAGUUGGUGGGCCCAUUACAGUUUUUAUUCGCCAAUCCAUUGGCUUUGUGCAAGCAAAAACGCACCUGGUCGUCUGCAACGCCCGCAAUGAACGCCUUCUUGCCUACAAACCAGCUCAAUUGCUUCAGCAUGUUCGGUUGGUGAGGUCUGGGGAAGUAACGCUCAGUGCUUACCACGCAGGUCGACCUUAAGGCCCGAGCCGUUAACGGCAGAGACCUUGACGCUGAGCGCGCGACCAACAGCUGCCUUCUGGAUUGUCGUCCUAAAGAGACUGGAUG